UAUUUGUAGAGCAGGUCUAACAUUUCUCUCUACCUCUACUCCUUCACAGAGAAAGAUUUUCUAGGGCUGGAUUAUAGUACAGCCAGAAUAUAUGUUGCUCUCAAACAAAAUGUGAUUAAUGAUCAGAAGCUGCUACCCAUCCAUGGUGAGAUGUGUUCAGAAUGACAACAGUGUAACUAGUACAGCAAUAUCAUGGAACUUUUUCUUACAUAACAGUUAUUUUAGCAUACAGUGAGGCUGGAAUGCCACCGAGGUUUGUGUCUCUGCCCUAUGUGUAGCUGGAAGAAGAAAAUUGUGAUUACAAAUUGAAUUAAUCUGGGAAUAGGAGAAAGAAACAGGCAAAGG
rnacentral:lncRNA from 1 species